GAUGAAGAACGCAGUGAAAUGCGAUAACUAAUGUGAAUUGCAGAAUUCCGUGAAUCAUCGAGUCUUUGAACGCACAUUGCGCCCCUGGUAUUCCGGGGGGCAUGCCUGUCCGAGCGUCAUUGCAACCCUCAAGCACGGCUUGUCUAAUGGGCGGUUCGUCUGCGGCCAUCCGCCGGAGACGCCCCCGAAAUGCAGUGGGGAUGUUCGCUAAAUCGCAGCGUCAGGAAUGGAAAUAAACAAUGCUGACGGCUCGAUGUCGAACGUCCACCUAAGGCGUGCCGCCCCCCCGGGGUGUGCCGCCCAACCUCUCUCGGUUGACCUCGGAUCAGGUAGGGAUACCCGCUGAACUUAAGCAUAUCAAUAAGCGGAGGA
rnacentral:misc_RNA from 1 species